AAUGUCUGUACAAGAACAAGCUGUAUGGUCAAGGCGCCAAGUGGUACGACGGAUGUGACUAUGAGUGUGUGUGUACCGACGCUGUCCACGGGAAAUACGAAUGUACCAACAAGUGUGACGUGUACUAUGACCUGCCACAUGAAUGCACUCUGGUCAAGAGGGAAGGAGAGUGUUGUCUUCAGCCUGUGUGUAACUUCAAGAGUAGCGUCCAAACCUCCGUCAUAAAUCAGCCCGUGAACCACAAUGGACGCACCUACUGCAGCUACAACAAUAAACGAUAUAGCCAGAACGAAUACUUUGAAGACGGCUGCAACAAGAAAUGCACUUGUGUUGAUGCCAAUGCCGGACACAUCGAAUGCAG